rnacentral:rRNA from 1 species
GAUGAACGCUGGCGGCGUGCCUAAUACAUGCAAGUCGAGCGAACAGACGAGGAUCUUGCUCCGCUGACGUUAGCGGCGGACGGGUGAGUAACACGUGGCUAACCUACCUAUAAGACUGAGAUAACUUCGGGAAACCGUAGCUAAUACCGGAUAAUAUAUUGAACCGCAUGGUUCAAUAGUGAAAUACGGUUUUGCUGUCACUUAUAGAUGGAUCCGCUCCGCAUUAGCUAGUUGGUAAGGUAACGGCUUACCAAGUCGACGAUGCGUAGCCGACCUGAGAGGGUGAUCGGCCACACUGGAACUGAGACACGGUCCAGACUCCUACGGGAGGCAGCAGUAGGGAAUCUUCCGCAAUGGGCGAAAGCCUGACGGAGCAACGCCGCGUGAGUGAUGAAGGUCUUCGGAUCGUAAAACUCUGUUAUUAGGGAAGAACAAAUGUGUAAGUAAAUAUGCACGUCUUGACGGUACCUAAACAGAAAGCCACGGCUAACUACGUG